CCUUUCCAGCGCCGGCCCCGGACACAGUAACCGUCGCGAUGUUGAUGCCCAAGAAGAACCGGAUUGCCAUUUAUGAACUCCUUUUUAAGGAGGGGGUGAUGGUAGCCAAGAAGGAUGUCCACAUGCCCAAGCACCCGGAGCUGGCAGACAAGAACGUGCCCAAUCUUCACGUCAUGAAAGCCAUGCAGUCUCUCAAGUCACGAGGCUAUGUGAAGGAACAGUUUGCCUGGAGACAUUUCUACUGGUACCUCACCAACGAGGGCAUCCAGUGUCUCCGCGAUUACCUCCACCUGCCCCCUGAGAUCGUGCCCGCCAUCCUGCGCCGCAGCCGUCCUGAGACUGGCCGGCCACGGCCCAAAGGUCUGGAGGGAGAGCGACCUGCAAGACUCACGCGAGGGGAAGCCGACAGAGACACCUACAGACGAAGCGCCGUGCCCCCUGGUGCCGACAAGAAAGCCGAGGCUGGAGCUGGGUCAGCAACUGAAUUCCAGUUUACAGGCGGAUUUGGUUGUGGACGUGCUCAGCCACCUCAGUAAAGUUGAAAGGGGUUGUUUUAUGUUGAAUAAACCUGUAAACAGAAAAAA